GUCCACGCCCUAAACGAUGACGACUAGUUGUUGGAGGAGUUAAAUCCUUUAGUAACGCAGCUAACGCGCGAAGUCGUCCGCCUGGGGAGUACGGUCGCAAGAUUAAAAACUCAAAGGAAUUGACGGGGGCCCGCACAAGCGGUGGAUGAUGUGGUUUAAUUCGAUGCAACGCGAAAAACCUUACCUACCCUUGACAUGCUAGGAACUCUGCAGAGAUGCAGAGGUGCCCGAAAGGGAACCUAGACACAGGUGCUGCAUGGCUGUCGU
rnacentral:rRNA from 1 species